rnacentral:rRNA from 1 species
GAUGAACGCUGGCGGCGUGCUUAACACAUGCAAGUCGAACGGAAAGGCUCCUGCUUGCAGGGGUACUCGAGUGGCGAACGGGUGAGUAACACGUGGGUGAUCUGCCCUGCACCUCGGGAUAAGCCUGGGAAACUGGGUCUAAUACCGGAUAGGACGAUGGUUUGGAUGCCAUUGUGGAAAGUUUUUUCGGUGUGGGAUGAGCUCGCGGCCUAUCAGCUUGUUGGUGGGGUAAUGGCCUACCAAGGCGUCGGCGGGUAGCCGGCCUGAGAGGGUGUACGGCCACAUUGGGACUGAGAUACGGCCCAGACUCCUACGGGAGGCAGCAGUGGGGAAUAUUGCACAAUGGGCGCAAGCCUGAUGCAGCGACGCCGCGUGGGGGAUGACGGCCUUCGGGUUGUAAACUCCUUUCGCUAGGGACGAAGCGCAAGUGACGGUACCUGGAGAAGAAGCACCGGCUAACUACGUG